rnacentral:rRNA from 1 species
AACGUAGGAGGCAAGCGUUAUCCGGAGUUACUGGGCGUAAAGAGCGUGUAGGCGGGCUGGCAAGUCUGGUGUGAAAGCUCCCGGCUAAACUGGGAGAGUGCAUUGGAGACUGCCAAUCUAGAGGCUGUCAGAGGGUCGUGGAAUUCCGGGUGUAGUGGUGAAAUGCGUAGAGAUCCGGAGGAACACCAGUGGCGAAGGCGACGACCUGGGGCAGAACUGACGCUGAGACGCGAAAGCACGGGGAGCGAACGGGAUUAGAAACCCCCGUAGUCC